GAAAAAAGAAAGGCAGAAAGCCUUUCUGUCAGAAAGCCCUGAAGGCAAACUUCUCCCACGUGCAGUUUAUAUUCCCAGUCUGAGAAGUACACAGGCUACAAAAGGACUGGAAGUCCACCGUAGUAUUUACAAAGAAUACAUAGUUACCUAUGAUAAUACUGUACACAUUGCCAGAAGGGAUUACUUUUCUAAGAUCAUUACAGAAAACAAAAAUAACUCUAACUAGAAUAUUGUUUUCUACUAUUGACAGACUGUUAAAUCCUGCCCUCGCCCCUGACCUUCUCAGACAAGCCUCUGCCUCUAGAUGUGAGAAAUUUACAACUUUCUUUAGCAAUAAAAUCACAACCAUCAGAGCUGGUAUUGCUAAAACUGCCGCCGGUGCCUGUGUUCCACCUCGUGAAAGGCAGGCAACCAUGAGCAAAUUCACCAGCAUCUCAACCUCAGAACUUUAUAAGAUUGUUACUCUGAGCAAACCGUCGUCCUGCUGUCUCCACCCGGUCCCUUCUCCGCUCUUUAGGAGGGUUUUCAAUAGUAUCUCAAACUCUGUCCUGAAAAUAUUAACAUAUCCACAGAAACUGGAGUUUGCCUUGAAGCUUGCAAAACGAAGCAUAUUCUAGACUGUGGAUUUCUAAGCAAUUAUAGGCCCAUAUCAAACCGACACCCAGUUCGUAAUACUGCAAAUAUAUAAAUAUCGCAAUACCGUCAUCAGUGGGCCAUAGGCUCAAUCACCAUUGUGUUACCUCAUUUGGCGAUAGAUAGUGACUUAACAGACAUUUAUUUAAAUGAAAGUCUUCGAAGAUUGCCACUUUAAACUAAUGAGGAUAAGACAUUAAUUCUAUUAGUUGGCCCCAAAUCCAAAAGGGAUGAGCUGCUUAAAACACUUGGUAAUCUGACUCUCUGGAUCAAACCAGAAGUAACAAAUCUGGGUGUAAUUUUAGACUCUGACUUAAGUUUUAUGUAAACAAAGCGACCAAGGUGGCAUUCUUUCAUCUCAGAAACAUCGCCAAGGUAUGGCCAUUCCUGACCCAGCAAGAUGCUGAAAAAUUUAUUAUUUCACGCUUUCACUAGACUACUGCAAUGCACUUCUUACUUCCUAAAAAGUCCAUUAAGAGGCUGCAACUUAUUCAGAACUCUGCUGCUAGACUGCUAACAAAAACAAAGAAGAGAGAGCACAUCACUCCAGUCUUAGCUACACUGCACUGGCUCCCUGUAGCUUCUAGAAUUGAUUUGAAAGUCCUUCUACUUGUGUACAAAGCUCUCAACGGCUUAGGACCAGCCUACAUCACAGAUUCCCUGUUGUUUUAUGUUCCUUCACGAGCUCUUAGAUCCUCUACUGCUGUUUUUUUAGUUACUCAAAACUCCACCAAAAAGAAAAUUGGAGAUGCAGCUUUUUUCAGCUAUGCUCCCAACCCUACCCAAAGAUAUUAGAGAGGCAAGCUCUGUUGAAAAUUUUCAACAGCACUUAAAAACAUCUCUUUAACCUAGCCUUUUUCUAGCACCACUUCUUAUCAUGUGCAUGCUUCAUAUGGGAGUCCCACAUGCUGUUUUUAAAUGACCUUUUAUGCCUUUAAAUGUCUUUCUUUGAUCUUUCAAAUGGCUUGCUUUCUCUGCAACACUAAGCACCUUAUCCUGUUUUUAUUCCUUUUUAAAUGUAAAGCACUUGAGGCUGCGUGUUUUUUAUGAAAGGUGCUGUAUAAAUAGAGCUUAUUAUUAUUAUAACUAUACAUCAAUCAUUUUCCAGUAAAGUCAAACACUGCUCUUUUAGUAUGGCGCAACAGAUUAGAGGAAGAGAAAAAAUGCCACAAGAUGAAUUAUUACUUGGAAGCACCGCAAGAUUAAUUUGUUAAACACAAUUCAUAAUCAUUUUAGGCUAUACAUCAGUUGCAUAGUUGCAAUCAUCCAUUUACAUCUUUUGCCUCAGGACAUAACAUCUCAUAAGAGCACAUCAUAGCAUGUUUAAUGAGGAACUAUUAUCGUCUUCUGUGCAAUAUUCAACUAACAGCAGGCAAUGCAAAUGCUCUCGGCUUGGUCUGUCUCACCAUCAAGAACUGCAAUGAUUGAUAAUGUCACUCUCUCUGAAAACAAAAUACAUCACUAACUGCAAUAUAAAAUGUUUGGUAAGCACAUGCACAAUUGACAAAUUCUUGACAUGUUAAUACUUUCAGCAGGCUACGUUCAAAACAUUUACAAUUCUAGUAUUUUAUCUAAUUAACUUUACUGUUGUAGACUUAGCAGGAUGUUGGUUUUAAUGGGUGCCAAUGAAUAUUCCUUGUCAUUAUUACAGUAAAUACUGUAAUAACGUAGGUACAGUACAUCUACCUUUAGUGAUAUGGUAUCUGGAACUAACUGCACCAGUGAAGUAAAAAUACCAAAGAUGCCAAUGCUACCUUAAAGAACUGUUUAAUAGUAUGUCAAAUAAACAAUAUCGUAACACCUAUAUGAAAUAGUAAGGUGAAAUGCACAGCUUUCAGUAGAAUCAUAGUUGAAAUAAGCUUAUAUGUACAUGUUUAAGCACUAUGGUUACCAUAGAUGAAAUUCAUCCCUGUGAAAAUAUAAGACCAUAUGCCUUUAAAGCGAUCAGGCACACUAUCCCUACUGAAGCUCUGAUUUUUCUUUCUAACAAAGGCAUUUACUGCAUAACACCCCUUUGACUGUGUGAUAGGCAGGAGCAUCGUACAAAUGUUAAUGGAGGCAAUUUUCAAGGACAAAGGCCUCUGCUACAGAGCCACAAAUUGGACUUCAAAUUGUUCAAAGGGACUUGGCUAGAGUGAUUAAAUUCUUUCCUAAAGAACCUGUGAUAAAGAGAAUAAAUUAGUUUGAUUUCAUUUGAGCUGUUUUUCAAGUCUACUGUUUUUGCACAGCGGUGAAGUAUAUUGAAAUAAAGCUUUCCAAAUAUCUCCCAAUGAAACAGUAUCAAAGCAACUCUGUUUGUCUGACAUACUGGCAAUUGUACUGAAUUUCACAGUUGUGUUUAUUGUAAAACAAUUGAAUUGCUACUCAUGGUCUCUCUGAUAGCCUAAUUUGUGGUUUCACAUUUAGAAUGCCAGCCAAAGGCAGUCACAAGUAUCACACGCAAAGGAACAUGUUAAAAAUGCUAGAAAAGCCCUGCCAACAUCAAGCACAGCAACAGGAGCAUUUUAGCUGUCAAGAAAACUGUAGCUCUCAACAGCGAGGAAGCCUUGCAGUGAUGCCAGGAUACUCAAAAAACACCAUGAUAGAAUUCACUGUAAGGGUGUCUCAGAAUGCAAUGCCUAAAAGAAAAGGAGCAGAAAACAAUGACAAAUCCUGUGCAGCUGCUCUUCAAUAUGUAAAUCAAGGCUUGCUUCGAAGUCUAAUUUCAGUAAGUACAGCUGCGGAUGCUGUAGUGCUGUGUGAGACAAGACGGGGAGUAUGUUUGAGGUGACUGUCAAUAGUAAUAUUAAUUUCAGUGGACAUUUAACCAAACAGCAUAACCUCGCUCAAUAUGUAAACAGCCCCAGAACAUGUUAGCACUGAAAUAUGACCCACAAAAAAGCAAAGAUUGUUCCUGCGUGUCCCCACUGUUGAUCAGAUUAAUUUAGAUUAUAAUAAAUUUCACUUUUUUAAACCACAAUAACACCUGGUGAAAUAUGUCAAUACAGAUGUCCACACCAGCCUAUCUUGCUUUUCAUCAAUAAAUCAAAAGUGUUAGAGAGGAGGUGGUUGCAUAAUUUGAGUAGCAGAACUAUGAUGCAAUCCCUUUGUCUUGUUUUGUAACAUGCCGAAUGGUUGUGUGUACACCCACAAAGAGAUGGAGAUGUGCAGAGAUGGGGCUCUGCAUCAGCGGGCAGUGGGGUGAUGCAGGGUCUCCAGAAGCCUCUGAGGGGGAACCAGGGGAUCGAUCCAUAUACUGCAAUGGUCGGGUCUUGAGAUGGAUAUGUAGUGCUUGCAAGCCAGCUUCAGAUACUGCCCAGAAUUCAGAUUGCACUAUAUACUGUACUAUGCUCUCAAUGUAAAUGUGUGAUAUUGUAUUAUUAAUGAUAGUAUUGAAGUGUUUCUUCUCCCUCGUCCUCUGAUUUAACAUAUUAAACCUGCCUCCAAGAGCCUUAACUCUGAGCUAUUUUCCCUCUCAGGAACAUUACAAAAAACUGUACAUAAUUUUAUUUCAUCUUGCCUUGAAAACUACAAAGCCCAUUUAACUUCCUUUAAAAGGAAAAAAAAAAUCCACUCUCAGAUUCUCUUUCACUGCUACAUAACAACGAUCUGUAAUGUUCAACACACGAGGAUAUUUUCAGAUGAAGUGUUGUAACUGACCUUUUUAAUGUACUCACUUUCUCUCAUUUCACUUUGUCAACCUCUAGUUCAUUUGGUGGUUUCCUAGGUUUUCUGGGCUACAUAAUACUGCAUUGUAUAUGCCUGAAGUUGAAAUCGGAUCCACUUUCCCAAAUAUUUAAAAUAGCAGUUAUAAGUUAUUCUACCUCCUCCAGUUAUAUAAGCCCAUUCAUCAAUAUGUUUUCUGUUUCUGUUUCACUCUGCUUUUCACCUGUACGCAGGUAAAACAAGGUGGGACAUGUCUUGUGGCUGCUUGGCAUUAUAAACUACUGAGGAUUUUUCCUUGUAUGGCUGCUGAAAGUCAGUGCUAAAUGGUUCACUCCUCAAACCGACACCUGCUUCCGAUCUAUUCACCGGCUCUUCAGAAGCUUCUCACCACGGGUUCACCUUGCUCCACUUCAGCCAGCUGUUGUCGCGCUGCCUAUCUGAUCUCACCAGCUACACUCCAGCCAGCCGUCCUCGCCCAGUCUACCUGUGCUCACGGACUGUCUGCAUCAGCCUGGGAAUCAUCCUCGCUUCACAGAGCUUCCUUCCACACACCUAGUUACUCUUUCAACUUGUUCGUGCUAUAAACAAAGGACUGACCACUUUAACUCUGUCUUCGAGUCUUGCUUUUGGGUCCAGAAUCUCUGUAGAUUAUAACACCUUCACAGUGCUUUUUCACAGUUAAAAAAAAACUCUGAUUCUGACAUCUGUAGCUCUUACUACAGUCAUGAGCCCUCAAGAAGUAAGAGAUGACUGUCAUAUUUCUACUUGGGGGGGGGGCUUCCAAAGGUUGAAACUCUGUGUGUGAAAGCUUGAAAUCUAAUAAAAAGGUUCUGUGAGACUGAAACUAA